GAUGAACGCUGGCGGCGUGCCUAAUACAUGCAAGUCGAGCGAACAGACGAGGAGCUUGCUCCUCUGACGUUAGCGGCGGACGGGUGAGUAACACGUGGAUAACCUACCUAUAAGACUGGGAUAACUUCGGGAAACCGGAGCUAAUACCGGAUAAUAUAUUGAACCGCAUGGUUCAAUAGUGAAAGACGGUUUUGCUGUCACUUAUAGAUGGAUCCGCGCCGCAUUAGCUAGUUGGUAAGGUAACGGCUUACCAAGGCAACGAUGCGUAGCCGACCUGAGAGGGUGAUCGGCCACACUGGAACUGGGACACGGUCCAGACUCCUACGGGAGGCCGCAGUAGGGAAUCUUCCGCAAUGGGCGAAAGCCUGACGGAGCAACGCCGCGUGAGUGAUGAAGGUCUUCGGAUCGUAAAACUCUGUUAUUAGGGAAGAACAAAUGUGUAAGUAACUAUGCACGUCUUGACGGUACCUAAUCAGAAAGCCACGGCUAACUACGUG
rnacentral:rRNA from 1 species